rnacentral:lncRNA from 1 species
GCCUGGCCAUUUUGCCUGCAUAAUAAAACAGUGCUGAUAAAGGCAGUGGAGAAAAAAAUCCACCCAUCUCAUCAUCAGUGCCAUUAACAAUCAUGAGUAAAGAUGAAAACAACGCAUGGUUUAUUCUGCAAAUGAAGGCAUAUAACUAGAUGGUUUCCCAGGGGCCCAUUACCCAUUUUAAUAAUACAUCAAGGAGCCUGAGCAAACAGUUUGUAUGUGCAAACCAAACAGAACAAACUAUUUACAGUUACCGCAUACAGAGACAACUCCCAGCACUCUGGAUUUAACAAAUUUAUAAAGGUACAUAACAUGAUAGCUAUUAGCAAAAUUAAAAGAGAACCAUUAUAGACUUAGAGGCUGCCACGCUCACCAGUGAAGAAGGAAAGGCAACACCAACUUUCUAUUGAGAAGAAUCCACCUCCACACUUUUUUUUUCUUUCUUCCAAGAGAGCAGCCUGACUUGGACUCAAAUUAUGUGCAUGAAUAAUAAAAUACCAUCUAAUUAAAAACUGUAGUUAAAUAUGCAAAAAUUAAUGGUAAUGAGAUUGUGCAAUACCUUCGAGUAUAAGUACUUUAUGAAUUACUCACAGGAGUUCCUUUGCUUGACCUAAGCAGAAGAUAACAGAAGCGACUUGGAACACUCUUGGUCCUGGUAGCCCAUGGUACCCAUAACACUCAUGACCAGGGCAGUCAAUGGACAACCUGGGGUGGAAGGUGGCUUGGCCAAAGCCUUCUUUUUUGAUUACUGGAGAUGACAAGAACUGGAAGGAUUGAGGUAGGCAUUGUUCAAAAGGCUGGGUAGCGGUCCAGGCUGGGGCAGUGGCUUUUCACCCUAGAGUAAGAAGGGCCUUCACACAAAAUCAUGAUAGCUGGACAGAGACCCUCAAUAAUAAGAAACAGAUGAAAAUAUCUAUUUUUGGACUCACUUACGGGUGUUUUCCUAUGAGCUAUCCAGAACGUUGUUGCCUUCCUAGUCACCAGUGCAAAGUUUUACCCAUACUCUGGAUUGUACCAGAUCAUUCUAGGAGAGCAUCCCCAUGCCAACACUAUUGCCCGGGACAAGAGCUGCUUCCAGAACCUUCUUCCCAGUGUGCAACCUGCUUUUCUCCCUUGUAGUCUCUGAAGCCUAUGCGACAUUGUCAGCACAAGCUCUUGUGCAUAUUUUCCUCAGCACCAUUUGAAGAGGCCACUGGUCUCCUUUUUGCCUUUCAGCCCUUUGGGUACUUGACCAUACAUUUGCGACUGGCUCAGCCUCCGAGGGCCACCCUGACAUUUGCUCUAGAGGCAAGGGACUAGAUCUUACCCAUUGCCUUUGCUUAGAGCUUCUGAAUCUCAACUUCCCCUGAUCUCUAUCUUCCUAUUUCUCCAUGGCUGGCGAUUCUUCUUGAGGAAAGUAGAUGACAAACUGAACAUGAUCUUAGCACAGUAGACAAUUUCAGACCUACUCAAUAUGACUCCAGUUUUUGCCUCUUCGUCUGUCAAGAUGGAGGUUGACGUGCUGAAAAAUAAGCAUUUCUUUGGGGAAGUAUGUCUCAUUCAGAUGAGGCUGAUGGAAAAACUUCUCUCUCAGCACCUUCUUGAAUAUACAUUGUCAUCCUGCUUAUGAUAAGGGUUUCUUGUCAAGUCAGUAGUAUCUGAGCUAAUUGAUACAUUCUCAGCAGCCAUGUAUACCAGGCAGGUUCAUCAGCUGUGCAAAAGAAUAAUCAUUGUGAUGUCAGCAGAGUGAUCAUUUUGUUCACUGCCAGCUGAUCUUAACCAGUUCCCAGAUUUGUGUUGUAUCGUUUGGGGCUUAUGAGAAAAUGGUGAACUUGAUCUACCUUCUUUUUUUUUUCUUUCUCCCAUUGAAAAAGUCAGAAUUUCUCCCUUCCUCUCUCAUAGGUUCUACCUGACCUUCUCAAUAGGUAGCCAAGUUUUAAUGGUAGAAGCACAGCGAGCGGAAUCUUAAAAAGACUUGGUGUCCCAGCCUGCACAACAUGAUGACACCUCGUCUCUACAAAUUAGCUGAGCAUGGUGGUAUAUGCCUGUAGUCGCAACUGCUGGGGAGGCUGAGAUGGGAGGAUCACUUUAACCCUGAGAGGUCGAGGCUGCAGUGGGCCAUGAUUGAGCUGCUGUACUCCAGCCCGGGUGACGGAGUAAGACCCAGUAUAAAAAAAAGAGACUUGGUGCCUAAUAAAUAUAUUUCUUAUUGAUAUUGA